rnacentral:rRNA from 1 species
AGUGAACGCUGGCGGCAGGCCUAAUACAUGCAAGUCGAACGGCAGCACGGCAGAGCUUGCUCUGUGGGUGGCGAGUGGCGGACGGGUGAGGAAUACAUGGGAAUCUGCCCAGUCGUGGGGGAUAACGUAGGGAAACUUACGCUAAUACCGCAUGCGCCCUUCGGGGGAAAGCCGGGGACCUUCGGGCCUGGCGCGAUUGGAUGAGCCCAUGUCGGAUUAGCUAGUUGGCGGGGUAAUGGCCCACCAAGGCGACGAUCCGUAGCUGGUCUGAGAGGAUGAUCAGCCACACUGGAACUGAGACACGGACCAGACUCCUACGGGAGGCAGCAGUGAGGAAUAUUGGUCAAUGGGGCGGAAGCCUGAACCAGCCAUCCCGCGUGAAGGAAGACAGCCUUACGGGUUGUAAACUUCUUUGAUAGGGGACGAUAAUGACGGUACCCUAAAACAAGCCACGGCUAACUACGUG